rnacentral:lncRNA from 1 species
UCCCAGAAAUGUAAAAUAUAAAUAUACAUAUAUAUUCUCAAAACUUCAUUUUUACUAUCUCAACAUUAUCUCUUUAUCAAUCAUGCCAUGCCAUGUCUAAUUCAACAGUUAAGUAUGGAUGCAUCAACAAUAAUCAUAUCAGGUGCAAGAAAGUAAUCAACCGUAGGCCCUCUAAUAGCCCUGUACGGUUGAACCUAGAGCUCAAAAUCUCAUCUAACCGGAGUCACCAACUGUGACCUGUUCGGCCAUGCCGGAGUCACCUAGUAUGACCUGUACGGCACUACACUGCACAUAAGUCGGAAUUACCUAAUAUAAUCUGUACGACUUAAUGGUAGAAUAAUAUGCUCUAGUGCUUCUCUCAUCAAUCAUCUGUGCACAUAAUCUAAGGUCACCUACCAGUCGGAACCCCUCUAAUGGUCUGUACGACUGGCAUGUCGGAACCACCCCCUGUGGUCUGUACGACUAGCAUCUACUUGGAUCCAAGGUGAGCAUGCGAUGCGGUGAAUAAUAAUAAGCACUAAUACCAAGGUGCAGGUUAUGAGCUCAAUAUAUCUCAACAUCAUCAUAACAAUAAUAAAUACUCACCUGAUACUCACCUGUGCGUCCACCGCACCAAUUCAUACAAAUGCAUCAUAUAUCAAUUCAUACUUUUAUAUACUUAUAUACAUGGCAUCUCAAAUCAUAUCUUUCAUAUAAAUCUACUCAUGGCAUUUGAAAACAUACUUUUAUACUUUGCAUUUAAAGCAUACUUUCGUAACAUUUUCAAUUUCUGGGAAACGUCAAUUAUAUAUGUAUACGGAAAACAAAACUGCCCACUCACCUGGAGUUCGUCCAACAACUCCUUAGCACCACACAUCAAGGCGUCAUGACGAUCGCCGCCUAGAACAGUAAUCAAAUCCAACCUCAGAAUUCAUAUCGAUAGAAUAUAUAACUUAUAUAAAAUACGUCACUAUGUAGAUCGAUCCGGAAGAUCUGCCACUCAGAUUUUAAAUCCAUAACUUCCAGAGGUCCACAAUAUAUCUCUAGGACAACAUCCUAAAAUUUCAUUACCAUCCAACGGUCGGAUCUCCGUCAAUUUCCAAAACUAAGUGAUGGUUAACAUUUUAUAUUAUGGACUUACAACUCCAAUUCCGGAAGAUCCGUAAAUCGGAUUCCCAAUCCGUAAGUUCCAAUAAUCCUCAAAUAUUACGUAUUACUACGUAUCAAAAUUUAGUGACGAUCUAACGGUCGGAUCGUCAAUUCACAUUUUCACCUAAAUGUGAAAACUAUAAAACGUUAUUCGAACACCUAACCAACAAUCUUUAAUAACUUUCUCAUACGGUACUCAAUUUGGGUAUAUGAAUAUACCACGGUGAUCUACUCGACGUCACGGACGUCGACAUAUUUUUAAAAUAAUUUGUUACUGUAGAACGCGCCCCCACGCGCCAAGGAAGGCACGGACCUACGCGCCCCCACGCGCACCUUCUUCUUCCUUGGGUCGCCGGACUGGUUUUUCCGGCGGCCGUCUUUCAAAUUGCCAUAACUUUGUCAUUUCUCAACGAAAUCAAGUGAUUCAAAAACGAAAGUUGUAGCCCUUGAAGAUACAAAGAGAAUGGUACCUUGCACAAUACCUAGUUCGCCGUGGUUUGGCCGGAAACUGCCUCGAAAGCCUCGGAGGUCGCCGGAAA